UACGUAGGGUGCAAGCGUUGUCCGGAUUUAUUGGGCGUAAAGGGCUCGUAGGCGGCGUGUCGCGUCGGGGAGUGAAAGCCCGCUGCUUAACGGCGGGUUGGCUUCCGGUACGGGCAUCGCUGGAGUGCGGCAGGGGAGACUGGAAUUCCUGGUGUAGCGGUGGAAUGCGCAGAUAUCAGGAGGAACACCAGUGGCGAAGGCGGGUCUCUGGGCCGUUACUGACGCUGAGGAGCGAAAGCGUGGGGGAGCGAACAGG
rnacentral:rRNA from 1 species